rnacentral:rRNA from 1 species
ACGGGGACCCGCACAAGCGGUGGAUGAUGUGGAUUAAUUCGAUGCAACGCGAAAAACAUUACCUACCCUUGACAUGUCCGGAAGCCCUUAGAGAUUUGGGUGUGCUAGAAAGAGAGCCGGUACACAGGUGCUGCAUGGCUGUCGUCAGCUCGUGUCGUGAGAUGUUGGGUUAAGUCCCGCAACGAGCGCAACCCUUGUCGUUAAUUGCCAUCAUCUAGUUGGGCACCUUAACGAGACUGCCGGUGACAAACCGGAGGAAGGUGGGGAUGACGUCAAGUCCUCAUGGCCCUUUUGGGUAGGGCUUCACACGUCAUACAAUGGUCGGUACAAAGGGUUGCCAACCCGCGAGGGGGAGCUAAUCCCAGAAAGCCGAUCGUAGUCCGGAUCGUAGGCUGCAACUAGCCUGCGUGAAGUCGGAAUCGCUAGUAAUCGUGGAUCAGCAUGUCACGGUGAAUAUGUUCCCGGGCCUCGUACACACCGCCGGUUGUAAAGCUCUUUCAGCCGGAAAGAAAACGCAUGGGUUAAUACCCUGUGUGGAUGACGGUACCGGAAUAAGAAGCACCGGCUAACUACGUGCCAGCAGCCGCGGUAAUACGUAGGGUGCGAGCGUUAAUCGGAAUUACUGGGCGUAAAGCGUGCGCAGGCGGUUUGUUAAGAUAGGCGUGAAAUCCCCGGGCUCAACCUGGGAACUGCGUUUAUGACUGGCAGGCUAGAGUAUGGCAGAGGGGGGUGGAAUUCCACGUGUAGCAGUGAAAUGCGUAGAGAUGUGGAGGAACACCGAUGGCGAAUGCAGCCCCCUGGGCCAAUACUGACGCUCAUGCACGAAAGCGUGGGUAGCAAACAGGAUUAGAUACCCUGGUAGUCCACGCCCUAAACGAUGUCAACUAGGUGUUGGGAGGAGUAAAACCUUUUUAGUACCGGAGCUAACGCGUGAAGUUGACCGCCUGGGGAGUACGG